UGUUUUGUGGGGGAAAAGAUGGAAACAUUUCAAAGGCUUCCAGCCACCACUGGACACCUGACAUAAGAGACCCCACACUGGUUAUAGCCACCAUGUCAAAAGCCCAGCUUCUCUGAUUCUGCCGGGCUGGAGAGAGCUGCUAGCAGAGCUGCCAACCGGUGGCAGGCAUCACGUGCCAGCAUGUGGGGGAGCCGUCUCGGAUGUCCAGCCUGCCUAGCUCGGCAUCGGUGAUGGCAGCCCCAGCAGACAUCGGACUGCAACUGUAUGGGAACCCAAGCAAGAACCACCUAGCUGAGCCCUUCCAGAAUUCCCAACCCACAAACUGUGACCAAAAUAAAAUGGCUAGGCUCUUUUUUUGGUA